ensembl:lncRNA
GUGAAUUUCAUUAUUUCAUUUCUUUUAGGGAAUAAAUAUUUCAAAGAAGAAAAAGUAGAUGAAAGUGACCAUGUUGUGACCUGUAAUUUCACAUUGGGAGAGAUGAACGAGGAGUACUUGUCUGAGGACACUUUGGAUUAUACUAGUUAGAAGGAACCCUAGUCUGCAGUUUGUGAAUGAAGUUGAGAUUUGGACUUUCUAUCUUUGUGACGAACUGAGUUGGAGUUUUGAUGGGGAAUUGCACUGGAACUGUAUAUUGCUUUUGCAUGUAUCCGAUUGCAGCAAACUGAUCCAGUAAAUAGAAGGUCUACAGCAAAUGAGUCAUAAAAGCGCUGCGCAGUGUGUUGCCCCUCUCUUUCAGACCCUGGCUUCUGGCAAGAGAAAAUAUGGUGAAACUACAAGGACCAGAAGUCCUUUCGGUUUUCAACUUCCCUUGGAGCCAAGCCUGGGAGUGACACCCACUUCAUUCAAUUCCUGUGGUUGUGGGAACACUGGAAAGUGGUUUGUUUUCCCUUUUGUUACAUUCAGGAUUUCUUUGAUUGAAUCUUGUCUUCGCAAUAAUUACUGAUAAUACAAGUCUCGCCUUUGUAUUUUUCCCGUUAAUCUUGGAAUGCGGCUAAAAGAAGGAAGUGAACGAUUCAGAAUUAAAUCAGGGAUUACAGAAGUCACGAUUCAGUAAGCAUAGUUUUAAAAUGAAAAAUUUUCAUGGAAUUUUCAGCAAAUUCGUAGGCUUUUUAAAAAUUAUUAUACGUAAACUUAGAUGUGAUUCUUUAACAGAGUAUGCUGUAAUUCUGAAUUUCUUAAAUAUAUCUGCAUACACACACACACACACACACACACACACAGAGAGAGAGAGAGAGAGAGAGA